GGGCCGCUAGCUCAACAGGGAGAGCAGCUGACUCUUAAUCAGCAGGUUCAGGGUUCGAGCCCCUGGCGGCUCA
rfam:Chloroflexi bacterium RBG_13_48_17 RBG_13_scaffold_26378, whole genome shotgun sequence.